rnacentral:piRNA from 1 species
GUAGACUGGAUGCUUCUGUUGAGGAGA